rnacentral:rRNA from 1 species
UAUGGGGGGGGCAAGCGUUGUUCGGAAUUACUGGGCGUAAAGGGCUCGUAGGUGGCCAACUAAGUCAGACGUGAAAUCCCUCGGCUUAACCGGGGAACUGCGUCUGAUACUGGAUGGCUUGAGUUCGGGAGAGGGAUGCGGAAUUCCAGGUGUAGCGGUGAAAUGCGUAGAUAUCUGGAGGAACACCGGUGGCGAAGGCGGCAUCCUGGACCGACACUGACACUGAGGAGCGAAAGCCAGGGGAGCAAACGGG